rnacentral:misc_RNA from 1 species
AAGUCGUAACAAGGUCUCUAUUAGUGAACUAGCGGAGAGAUCAUUACAGAGUUGUACAACUCGCCAAACUAUUGUAAACCCUACCUCCUUGUUGCUUCGGCAGGAGGUACCCUUGUCGCCCUACAAUAGGCUGCUCGUAGAGUGCCCCUAGGCCCCGCGUAGGCGCCCGCUGGAAUAAUUUUAGAAUCUCUUAACAGCAUAUAGCUUCUCUAAGUCUUACUAAAUAAGUCAAAACUUUUAACAACGGAUCUCUUGGUUCUA